AAUCCAGAUUUUUUUAAAUCUAUCACAUAUUUGAUAAAAAUAUAUGU
rfam:Phalacrocorax carbo contig67045, whole genome shotgun sequence.